CUGAUAUUAGCUGAGUUGUUUAGAGCACGGUGCCAAUAUCACCAAGGUUGUGGGUUCAAACCCCAUUUAAGAGC